UUUUUUUUUGUUCUUCUGAUUUGUAUAUAAAAACAACAUUAAAGGAAUGUACAUUGAAAUGGAAACUGUGCCACAUAAUACUCCCUCUAAAUAUUUGGUUGAACUCGAUGAAAGUUAGUUUACAGGUAAAACACUGAAAGGUUGAUUAAAUCAGUCCCACGGUUUUUGCAAAACAGUUUAAACCCAGCUCAAAGUGUUUUGAAGCACUGGCUUCUUGAAAUUAUAAAACAUUUGAACACUUUUGCCGGCCGGCCAUAAUUGCCAUGGAAACCAACCGCAGUUAAGUUUUUUUGAAGUUUGAAAAGUGUUUGGCGUCCCUGUCAGCUUUUACGAUGGAAAAUUCAACCGAAAAAUUCAUUAACAGCAACAAGGAAUGGAUGUAUUGAGGAGAUGCUGAAGUUUUAUUGUUUUGGACAUGGUUGACUGCGACAAUUGGCAGGAAUGGUGGACAUACGACGGCAUAUCUGG